rnacentral:rRNA from 1 species
AUUGAACGCUGGCGGCAUGCCUUACACAUGCAAGUCGAACGGCAGCAUGGGUGCUUGCACCUGAUGGCGAGUGGCGAACGGGUGAGUAAUGCAUCGGAACGUACCCGGAAGUGGGGGAUAACGUAGCGAAAGUUACGCUAAUACCGCAUAUUCUGUGAGCAGGAAAGCGGGGGAUCGCAAGACCUCGCGCUUCCGGAGCGGCCGAUGUCGGAUUAGCUAGUUGGCGGGGUAAAGGCCCACCAAGGCAACGAUCCGUAGCGGGUCUGAGAGGAUGAUCCGCCACACUGGGACUGAGACACGGCCCAGACUCCUACGGGAGGCAGCAGUGGGGAAUAUUGGACAAUGGGCGCAAGCCUGAUCCAGCCACGCCGCGUGAGUGAUGAAGGCCUUCGGUCGUAAGCUCUGUGGGGAGGGACGGAACGGCGCCGAUGAAGAGUGGCGAGUUGACGGUACC